rnacentral:rRNA from 1 species
UACGUAGGGGGCGAGCGUUGUCCGGAGUUACUGGGCGUAAAGCGCACGCAGGCGGUCUGCUAAGUUUGGAGUGACAGUUGGUGGCUUAACUGCCAAAGUGCUUCGAAAGCUGACAGACUUGAGGGCUUCAGAGGGACACGGAAUUCCGGGUGGAGUGGUGAAAUGCGUAGAGAUCCGGAGGAACACCAAAGGCGAAGGCAGUGUCCUGGGGAGUACCUGACGCUCAGGUGCGAAAGCCAGGGGAGCGAACGGG